GGUUAAGCGACUAAGCGUACACGGUGGAUGCCCUGGCAGUCAGAGGCGAUGAAGGACGUGCUAAUCUGCGAUAAGCGUCGGUAAGGUGAUAUGAACCGUUAUAACCGGCGAUUUCCGAAUGGGGAAACCCAGUGUGUUUCGACACACUAUCAUUAACUGAAUCCAUAGGUUAAUGAGGCGAACCGGGGGAACUGAAACAUCUAAGUACCCCGAGGAAAAGAAAUCAACCGAGAUUCCCCCAGUAGCGGCGAGCGAACGGGGAGCAGCCCAGAGCCUGAAUCAGUGUGUGUGUUAGUGGAAGCGUCUGGAAAGGCGCGCGAUACAGGGUGACAGCCCCGUACACAAAAAUGCACAUACUGUGAGCUCGAUGAGUAGGGCGGGACACGUGGUAUCCUGUCUGAAUAUGGGGGGACCAUCCUCCAAGGCUAAAUACUCCUGACUGACCGAUAGUGAACCAGUACCGUGAGGGAAAGGCGAAAAGAACCCCGGCGAGGGGAGUGAAAAAGAACCUGAAACCGUGUACGUACAAGCAGUGGGAGCCUCUUUAUGGGGUGACUGCGUACCUUUUGUAUAAUGGGUCAGCGACUUAUAUUCUGUAGCAAGGUUAACCGAAUAGGGGAGCCGAAGGGAAACCGAGUCUUAACUGGGCGUUAAGUUGCAGGGUAUAGACCCGAAACCCGGUGAUCUAGCCAUGGGCAGGUUGAAGGUUGGGUAACACUAACUGGAGGACCGAACCGACUAAUGUUGAAAAAUUAGCGGAUGACUUGUGGCUGGGGGUGAAAGGCCAAUCAAACCGGGAGAUAGCUGGUUCUCCCCGAAAGCUAUUUAGGUAGCGCCUCGUGAAUUCAUCUCCGGGGGUAGAGCACUGUUUCGGCAAGGGGGUCAUCCCGACUUACCAACCCGAUGCAAACUGCGAAUACCGGAGAAUGUUAUCACGGGAGACACACGGCGGGUGCUAACGUCCGUCGUGAAGAGGGAAACAACCCAGACCGCCAGCUAAGGUCCCAAAGUCAUGGUUAAGUGGGAAACGAUGUGGGAAGGCCCAGACAGCCAGGAUGUUGGCUUAGAAGCAGCCAUCAUUUAAAGAAAGCGUAAUAGCUCACUGGUCGAGUCGGCCUGCGCGGAAGAUGUAACGGGGCUAAACCAUGCACCGAAGCUGCGGCAGCGACGCUUAUGCGUUGUUGGGUAGGGGAGCGUUCUGUAAGCCUGCGAAGGUGUACUGUGAGGUAUGCUGGAGGUAUCAGAAGUGCGAAUGCUGACAUAAGUAACGAUAAAGCGGGUGAAAAGCCCGCUCGCCGGAAGACCAAGGGUUCCUGUCCAACGUUAAUCGGGGCAGGGUGAGUCGACCCCUAAGGCGAGGCCGAAAGGCGUAGUCGAUGGGAAACAGGUUAAUAUUCCUGUACUUGGUGUUACUGCGAAGGGGGGACGGAGAAGGCUAUGUUGGCCGGGCGACGGUUGUCCCGGUUUAAGCGUGUAGGCUGGUUUUCCAGGCAAAUCCGGAAAAUCAAGGCUGAGGCGUGAUGACGAGGCACUACGGUGCUGAAGCAACAAAUGCCCUGCUUCCAGGAAAAGCCUCUAAGCAUCAGGUAACAUCAAAUCGUACCCCAAACCGACACAGGUGGUCAGGUAGAGAAUACCAAGGCGCUUGAGAGAACUCGGGUGAAGGAACUAGGCAAAAUGGUGCCGUAACUUCGGGAGAAGGCACGCUGAUAUGUAGGUGAAGUCCCUCGCGGAUGGAGCUGAAAUCAGUCGAAGAUACCAGCUGGCUGCAACUGUUUAUUAAAAACACAGCACUGUGCAAACACGAAAGUGGACGUAUACGGUGUGACGCCUGCCCGGUGCCGGAAGGUUAAUUGAUGGGGUUAGCGGUAACGCGAAGCUCUUGAUCGAAGCCCCGGUAAACGGCGGCCGUAACUAUAACGGUCCUAAGGUAGCGAAAUUCCUUGUCGGGUAAGUUCCGACCUGCACGAAUGGCGUAAUGAUGGCCAGGCUGUCUCCACCCGAGACUCAGUGAAAUUGAACUCGCUGUGAAGAUGCAGUGUACCCGCGGCAAGACGGAAAGACCCCGUGAACCUUUACUAUAGCUUGACACUGAACAUUGAGCCUUGAUGUGUAGGAUAGGUGGGAGGCUUUGAAGUGUGGACGCCAGUCUGCAUGGAGCCGACCUUGAAAUACCACCCUUUAAUGUUUGAUGUUCUAACGUUGGCCCCUGAUCGGGGUUGCGGACAGUGUCUGGUGGGUAGUUUGACUGGGGCGGUCUCCUCCUAAAGAGUAACGGAGGAGCACGAAGGUUGGCUAAUCCUGGUCGGACAUCAGGAGGUUAGUGCAAUGGCAUAAGCCAGCUUGACUGCGAGCGUGACGGCGCGAGCAGGUGCGAAAGCAGGUCAUAGUGAUCCGGUGGUUCUGAAUGGAAGGGCCAUCGCUCAACGGAUAAAAGGUACUCCGGGGAUAACAGGCUGAUACCGCCCAAGAGUUCAUAUCGACGGCGGUGUUUGGCACCUCGAUGUCGGCUCAUCACAUCCUGGGGCUGAAGUAGGUCCCAAGGGUAUGGCUGUUCGCCAUUUAAAGUGGUACGCGAGCUGGGUUUAGAACGUCGUGAGACAGUUCGGUCCCUAUCUGCCGUGGGCGCUGGAGAACUGAGGGGGGCUGCUCCUAGUACGAGAGGACCGGAGUGGACGCAUCACUGGUGUUCGGGUUGUCAUGCCAAUGGCACUGCCCGGUAGCUAAAUGCGGAAGAGAUAAGUGCUGAAAGCAUCUAAGCACGAAACUUGCCCCGAGAUGAGUUCUCCCUGACUCCUUGAGAGUCCUGAAGGAACGUUGAAGACGACGACGUUGAUAGGCCGGGUGUGUAAGCGCAGCGAUGCGUUGAGCUAACCGGUACUAAUGAACCGUGAGGCUUAACCUU
rnacentral:rRNA from 1 species